GAUGAACGCUGGCGGCGUGCCUAAUACAUGCAAGUCGAACGAAACUUCUUUAUCACCGAGUGCUUGCACUCACCGAUACAGAGUUGAGUGGCGAACGGGUGAGUAACACGUGGGCAACCUGCCCAAAAGAGGGGGAUAACACUUGGAAACAGGUGCUAAUACCGCAUAACCAUAGUUACCGCAUGGUAACUAUGUAAAAGGUGGCUAUACUACCGCUUUUGGAUGGGCCCGCGGCGCAUUAGCUAGUUGGUAGGGUAAAGGCUUACCAAGGCAAUGAUGCGUAGCCGAAGUGAGAGGUUGAUCGGCCACAUUGGGACUGAGACACGGCCCAAACUCCUACGGGAGGCAGCAGUAGGGAAUCUUCCACAAUGGGCGAAAGCCUGAUGGAGCAACGCCGCGUGGGUGAAGAAGGUCUUCGGAUCGUAAAACCCUGUUGUUAGAGAAGAAAGUGCGUGAGAGUAACUGUUCACGUUUCGACGGUAUCUAACCAGAAAGCCACGGCUAACUACGUG
rnacentral:rRNA from 1 species